GUGUUUACUUCAUCAGCACACAAAUAAAACCAGAAUUAUCCACAGAAGAUUAAUAUGAUCCUUGCAAAAGGAUGACAUGGAAUUUCAUGAAGUAGCCAACAUUUCU
ensembl:snRNA U6 U6 spliceosomal RNA